rnacentral:rRNA from 1 species
UGCGGUUAAAAAGCUCGUAGUUGGACUUCUGCUUUAGAUGGCCGGUCCGCCCUCUGGGUAAGCAUCUGCUUGUCUUGGGCAUCUUCAUGGGGAACGAAACUGCACUUGACUGUGUGGGUCGGUAGCCAUGAUUUUACUUUGAGGAAAUCAGAGUGUUUCAAGCAAGCAUGCGCCUUGAAUACAUUAGCAUGGAAUAUUUCUAUAGGGCCGUUGUUCUAUUUUGUUGGUUUCUAGAAUAAUGGUAAUGGUUGACAGGGAUAGUUGGGGGUAUUUGUAUUUAACUGUCAGAGGUGAAAUUCUUGGAUUUGUUAAAGACACACUACUGCGAAA